UUUCCGUAGGUGAACCUGCGGAAGGAUCAUUACUGAGUUCUGGUCCGCGAGGACCGGUUUCUCUACCCCCUGAUAUUUGCUCGGUGGAGGCGUCAGAUUCGUGGGGUGACCCGCUGUCAGGCGCCGAAGCUGCUCAAUCUUUCGGCGGUCGCGACGAAAGUCCGGCCCCGGUAUGAAAAACAUGUCGAGAAUUUGAAGUCUGAGUGUGUACCAAUAAGCAAAACUUUCAACAACGGAUCUCUUGGCUCUGGCAUCGAUGAAGAACGCAGC
rnacentral:misc_RNA from 1 species